rnacentral:rRNA from 1 species
GUGGGGAAUAUUGCGCAAUGGGCGAAAGCCUGACGCAGCGAUGCCGCGUGAGUGAAGAAGGCUCUUGGGUCGUAAAGCUCUUUAUCUCAGGGAAGAUAAUGACGGUACCUGAGGAAUAAGCACCGGCUAACUACGUGCCAGCAGCCGCGGUAAUACGUAGGGUGCGAGCGUUGUUCGGAUUUACUGGGCGUAAAGGGUGUCUAGGCGGACUCGUAAGCUAGAGGUUAAAGCCCGGGGCUCAACCCCGGAAUCGCUUUUAGAACUGCGGAUCUAGAGAGGGUCAGAGGCCAGCGGAAUUCCAGGUGUAGAGGUGAAAUUCGUAGAUAUCUGGAGGAACACCGGCGGCGAAAGCGGCUGGCUGGGGCCAAUCUGACGCUGAAGCACGAAAGCGUGGGGAGCGAACGGG